GCCCGUGGCUCAAUGGGUAGAGCGUUGGACUUCUGAUUAACAGAUUGCGGGUUCAAGCCUCGUGCGGGCA
rnacentral:tRNA from 1 species